rnacentral:sRNA from 1 species
UCCCUAUGGUAGACUACGGUGAUGUG